rnacentral:ribozyme from 1 species
UGCCCAGCAACUCCUAUCCCUACCUCCACGCGGUACCGGCCGGAAACUAUGAGCAACCUUAGGGAAGAUCGGGUAACCAACCCCGGUGGGAACGUAGGCUGUCAGGGAAGG